rnacentral:lncRNA from 1 species
GUUGGGAUUGUAGGGUGUAAGGUAACCAUGAUGCACUUUCCACUUUCUUUAAACAAUGUUAUCCCUCUCCAUAAAUUUGAUUUGGUAAAAUACUUGGAAAGAACAACAAAUUGAACUGAAGAAAAUAAGUUGGAAGAUUAAAAAAUAAAUCAAAACUAAUGAAGGCUGUAGCAUUAAAGAUCGGCUGAAGAAAAGUCCCUACUUUCCUUCCAAAAUGAUAAUGAUGAAGAAAGCCUUCUGGAACAGCUGGCUUAGUGCCC